rnacentral:rRNA from 1 species
UGGGGAAUAUUGCACAAUGGGCGCAAGCCUGAUGCAGCCAUGCCGCGUGUAUGAAGAAGGCCUUCGGGUUGUAAAGUACUUUCAGCGAGGAGGAAGGCGUUGAUGGGUUAAAUAAACCCUGGCAUGCGAUUGACUGUUACUCGCAGAAGAAGCACCGGCUAACUCCGUGCCAGCAGCCGCGGUAAUACGGAGGGUGCAAGCGUUAAUCGGAAUUACUGGGCGUAAAGCGCACGCAGGCGGUCUGUCAAGUCGGAUGUGAAAAUCCCCCGGGCUCAACCUGGGAACUGCAUCCGAAACUGGCAGGCUAGAGUCUUGUAGA